GCCUGUAGGACCAGAAUGACCACGAGGACCUUCCAACCCUGGAAUACCGUUUUUGGGAACGCCUGCAAAGCCGGGAAGUCCUGGAAGGUCCUGGCUCUCCUGGUUGACCUACUUCCCCCUGCAACAAGACACAGCAGUCAAACAGACAUCCACCAAAUGUUUUUGUUUUCAGAUACAGUAGAACCAGAAGCAAGGCUGUGAGACCAUGAAAGCAAAUAUUCCUGCAAAUUAUUAAAAAAAAAACAAAAAAAAAAACAUGAUGGCGUUAACAGCAUUGUC